GACGAACUCUGGCGGCGCGCCUAACACAUGCAAGUCGAACGAGCGAGAGAGAGCUUGCUUUCUCGAGCGAGUGGCGAACGGGUGAGUAACGCGUGAGGAACCUGCCUCAAAGAGGGGGACAACAGUUGGAAACGACUGCUAAUACCGCAUAAGCCCACGGCUCGGCAUCGAGCAGAGGGAAAAGGAGCAAUCCGCUUUGAGAUGGCCUCGCGUCCGAUUAGCUAGUUGGUGAGGUAACGGCCCACCAAGGCAACGAUCGGUAGCCGGACUGAGAGGUUGAACGGCCACAUUGGGACUGAGACACGGCCCAGACUCCUACGGGAGGCAGCAGUGGGGAAUAUUGCACAAUGGGGGAAACCCUGAUGCAGCGACGCCGCGUGGAGGAAGAAGGUCUUCGGAUUGUAAACUCCUGUUGUUGGGGAAGAUAAUGACGGUACCCAACAAGGAAGUGACGGCUAACUACGUGCCAGCAGCCGCGGUAAAACGUAGGUCACAAGCGUUGUCCGGAAUUACUGGGUGUAAAGGGAGCGCAGGCGGGAAGACAAGUUGGAAGUGAAAUCUAUGGGCUCAACCCAUAAACUGCUUUCAAAACUGUUUUUCUUGAGUAGUGCAGAGGUAGGCGGAAUUCCCGGUGUAGCGGUGGAAUGCGUAGAUAUCGGGAGGAACACCAGUGGCGAAGGCGGCCUACUGGGCACCAACUGACGCUGAGGCUCGAAAGUGUGGGUAGCAAACAGGAUUAGAUACCCUGGUAGUCCACACCGUAAACG
rnacentral:rRNA from 1 species